GUAGGUGGCGAGCGUUAUCCGGAAUGAUUGGGCGUAAAGGGUGCGUAGGUGGCAGAUCAAGUCCGGAGUAAAAGGUAUGGGCUCAACCCGUACUGGCUCUGGAAACUGAUCAGCUAGAGAACAGAAGAGGACGGCGGAACUCCAUGUGUAGCGGUAAAAUGCGUAGAUAUAUGGAAGAACACCGGUGGCGAAGGCGGCCGUCUGGUCUGAUUCUGACACUGAAGCACGAAAGCGUGGGGAGCAAAUAGGAUUAGAUACCCUAGUAGUCCACGCCGUAAACGAUGAGAACUAGGUGUUGGGGGAAUAACUCAGUGCCGCAGUUAACGCAGUAAGUUCUCCGCCUGGGGAGU
rnacentral:rRNA from 1 species